GCGCAUGCGUUAAGUUACACAGGCAUUUGAUCCCUGUUCUGGCCCCUUAUUACAUACAGAACGCAAUGGGAGUUGCACCAGCAGGACACUUUACCAUCUCAUCUAGAAAGGUUGGUGAUCAGUGUUUGAUGACAGUAACAGAAAAUCAAAGUAGGACUUGUUCAUCUGAACUAGGACAUAGUGCACUACGGCUCUCCUGGUAAACACUGUACCCGUGAGCAUUAUAGCCUCAGCCUACAGACGCUUCUAUUAAUUGUCACUUUCCUCUUUCUUGGUUAUGCAGGGGAGUAAAACAUCUUCCCUCAUGAAUAGCACAGUUCCUGGCUGUGGGCUUCCUGAUAACAGACUGAGAAAUGAUGAUAAGAGAAAGGCUGGUAUACAGCUAGUAUGUUUUAUACGACACAAGAGACUUCAUGUUGAAAUGAAGACCCGAAGAAACUGUAUUUCUAUGUAGAGUUUUGGAAGAGUGGGCAGAGAUUCCAUGAUCGUGCAGUGAUUCACUGGUAGACGUAAACCAAGCCUGCUUGCCCUGGUGCUUCUCUGCUCCUGUGUCACUGGCUCUCCUCCGGAUCCGAGAGGCACCUCUCACCUGUGAAGUCAGGCUCUACUUCCAGCAAGGAUUGGCUGCUCUUGCUUGCUUUGGGGAGAAGGCAACAGUGACCAUCCUGUUGCUAUUGCUUCCUCAAAUGCCCAUGUGCCAGGGUCCUCAUUUCCCUGAAGAGUCCCAUGUCACAUUAAA